GCGCCAGUGUGGGUUAGGGCUGAGAAAGAACGACAGGAACAGAGACGUCGCGAGAAUUAAGUUUAAGACUUCGCGAGAGCAGGGUUUCUUUUGGCGCCUCCUCUCCGCGCGUUCUUGGGGGUUGAAAGGAGGAGCAGGAGGUACUGAUGGACAAGGAGGUACCUUCCGGUACACCUUUCAUGGCGAUCCUCAUGCUACAUUUGCUGCAUUUUUCGGAGGGUCCAACCCCUUUGAAAUUUUCUUUGGAAGACGAAUGGGUGGUGGUAGAGAUUCUGAAGAAAUGGAAAUAGAUGGUGAUCCUUUUAGUGCCUUUGGUUUCAGCAUGAAUGGAUAUCCAAGAGACAGGAAUUCUGUGGGGCCAUCCCGCCUCAAACAAGAUCCUCCAGUUAUUCAUGAACUUAGAGUAUCACUUGAAGAGAUAUAUAGUGGUUGUACCAAACGGAUGAAGAUUUCUCGAAAAAGGCUAAACGCUGAUGGAAGGAGUUACAGAUCUGAGGACAAAAUUCUUACCAUUGAGAUUAAAAAAGGGUGGAAAGAAGGCACCAAAAUUACUUUUCCAAGAGAAGGAGAUGAAACACCAAAUAGUAUUCCAGCAGACAUUGUUUUUAUCAUUAAAGACAAAGAUCAUCCAAAAUUUAAAAGGGAUGGAUCAAAUAUAAUUUAUACUGCUAAAAUUAGUUUACGAGAGGCAUUGUGUGGCUGCUCAAUUAAUGUACCAACACUGGAUGGAAGAAACAUACCUAUGUCAGUAAAUGAUAUUGUGAAACCCGGAAUGAGGAGAAGAAUUAUUGGAUAUGGGCUGCCAUUUCCAAAAAAUCCUGACCAACGUGGUGACCUUCUAAUAGAAUUUGAGGUGUCCUUCCCAGAUACUAUAUCUUCUUCAUCCAAAGAAGUACUUAGGAAACAUCUUCCUGCCUCAUAGAAUGAAGAACUUUGUUACACAUAUUUU
rnacentral:sRNA from 1 species